rnacentral:rRNA from 1 species
GGUGCGACGCUAACGCAUUAAAUCGACCACGUGGGGAGUACGGUCGCAAGACUGAAACUCAAAGAAAUUGACGGGGACCCGCACAAGCGGUGGAGCAUGUGGUUUAAUUCGAGGCUACGCGAAGAACCUUACCCAGGCUUGACAUGUAGUUGACAGCCCAUGAAAGUGGGUCUUCUCGCAAGAGACAAUUACACAGGUGCUGCAUGGCUGUCGUCAGCUCGUGCUGUGAAGUGUUGGGUUAAGUCCCGCAACGAGCGCAACCUUUAUUCUUAGUUGCCAUCACGUCAUGGUGGGCACUCUAGGAAGACUGCCGGUGAUAAACUGGAGGAAGGAGGAGACGACGUCAAGUCAGUAUGGCCCUUAUGCCUGGGGCUACACACGUGCUACAAUGGUCGUGACAAAGGGCUGCGAUACCGCAAGGUGGAGCUAAUCCCAAAAAAACGGCCUCAGUUCAGAUAGAGGGCUGCAACUCGCCCUCUUGAAGUCGGAAUCGCUAGUAACGGUAGGUCAGCUACACUACCGUGAAUACGUUCCCGGGUCUUGUACACACCGCCCGUCAAGCCACCUGAGUCGAGAGCACCCGAAGUCGAU